UACGUAGGUAGCGAGCGUUGUUCGGAGUUACUGGGCGUAAAGGGUGUGUAGGCGGUCUUCUAAGUCUGGUGUGAAAUCUCCCGGCUCAACUGGGAGGGUGCGCCGGAAACUGGGAGGCUAGAGUGUGGGAUGGGAGAGUGGAAUUCCUGGUGUAGCGGUGAAAUGCGUAGAUAUCAGGAGGAACACCUGUGGUGUAGACGGCUCUCUGGACCGCAACUGACGCUGAGACACGAAAGCGUGGGUAGCAAACAGG
rnacentral:rRNA from 1 species